UAGUCAUCUCUUCAUACUAUUUCUUAAACCAAUUUUUCCUUAACCAUUUUAUUUACAUUUGUAACUCAAACCAAAUUGCCUCAGUGCACCCCUCAUUUUACAUACAUCCUUAAUAAUAAUGACAUUAUCGAGUAGAAGUUGAAACAGUCCUUGUGGAUACGAAUCUUAUAAAUAUUAUUACUUCCAUAUAAGUUAGUACACUUGCUAAUUUUCUAUCAAUAGUAGUAACUUUCACCUUGUUUGAUCAACUGUGAGAUAUUGGCAACAGAGUAGUUUCCAUUUCCACUGCAGCCACAAGUUAUUGGUACCAGCAAAAGUUCGCCAUGAAUGAGGUUCAUAUUUUCAUCUUUUAUGUUGUUUGCUCUUGCAAUGGAUUGAAGACUAGUGUCAAAUAAAUGUGAGGGUUAGAAAGUUUGGAGAGUUAGCAAAGUAUGCAACAUAUGCGUCACAAGAAGGAGGGGAAUUCAAAGGGUAUGAGAAGUUUGUCCCAUUGGUUUGUGGCAAUUGAAGUAGGAAGGAUAUUGAUGGCAAAAAAGAACAUGAGUACUUGAGAUAGAGUGUGAGAUGGAAGAAUGGAAGAAACCAUUGUUUUCAAAAG
rnacentral:lncRNA from 1 species